UACGGAGGAUGCGAGCGUUAUCCAGAUUUAUUGGGUUUAAAGGGUGCGUAGGCGGGAUGCCAAGUCAGCGGUAAAGAUGCGGUGCUCAACGCCGUCGAGCCGUUGAAACUGGCGUUCUUGAGUGGGCGAGAAGUAUGCGGAAUGCGUGGUGUAGCGGUGAAAUGCAUAGAUAUCACGCAGAACUCCGAUUGCGAAGGCAGCAUACCGGCGCCCUACUGACGCUGAGGCACGAAAGCGUGGGUAUCGAACAGG
rnacentral:rRNA from 1 species